GACGAACGCUGGCGGCGUGCCUAAUACAUGCAAGUCGAACGCAGUGGGGACAGGUGAGUAACACGUGGGUAACCUCGCAUCAGAGGGGAGAACCCUUGGAAAAAGGUGCUAAACCGAUACUGAUGGAUGGACUCGCGGUGCAUUAGCUAGUUGGUGGGGUAACGGCUCACCAAGGCCACGAUGCAUAGCCGACCUGAGAGGGUGAUCGGCCACACUGGAACUGAGACACGGCCCAGACUCCUACGGGAGGCAGCAGUAGGGAAUCUUCGGCAAUGGACGAAAGUCUGACCGAGCAACGCCGCGUGAGUGAAGAAGGUCUUCGGAUCGUAAAACUCUGUUGUUAGAGAAGCGGUAUCUAACCAGAAAGCCCCGGCUAACUACGUGCCAGCAGCCGCGGUAAUUC
rnacentral:rRNA from 1 species